AUUGAACGCUGGCGGCAGGCCUAACACAUGCAAGUCGAACGAGUGGCGGACGGGUGAGUAAUGUCUGGGAAACUGCCUGAUGGAGGGGGAUAACUACUGGAAACGGUAGCUAAUACCGCAUACCAUCAGAUGUGCCCAGAUGGGCUUAGCUUGUUGGUGGGGUAACGGCUCCCCAAGGCGACGAUCCCUCGCUGGUCUGAGAGGAUGACCAGCCACACGGGAGCUGAGACAGGGUCCUGACUCCUACGGUAUGCAGCAGUGGGGUAUAUUGCACAAUGGGCGCAAGCCUGAUGCAGCCAGGCCGCGUGUAUGACGAAGGCCCUCGGUUUGUAAAGUACUUUCAGCGGGGAGGCGUUACCCGCAGAAGAAGCACCGGCUAACUCCGUGCCAGCAGCCGCGGUAAUUC
rnacentral:rRNA from 1 species